GACGAACGCUGGCGGCGUGCCUAACACAUGCAAGUCGAGCGGAGUCGAUCGACGGAAGCCUUCGGGCGGAAGAUGGUUGACUUAGCGGCGGAUGGGUGAGUAACGCGUGGGCAACCUGCCUCGAAGACCGGGAUAACAGCCCGAAAGGGCUGCUAAUACCGGAUGUGGUCAAGGAUCCGCAUGGAUUUUUGAUUAAAGGGGAAACCCGUUUCGAGAUGGGCCCGCGUCCUAUCAGCUAGUUGGUGAGGUAAAAGCUCACCAAGGCGACGACGGGUAGCCGGCCUGAGAGGGUGACCGGCCACACUGGAACUGAGACACGGUCCAGACUCCUACGGGGGGCAGCAGUGGGGAAUCUUCCACAAUGGGCGAAAGCCUGAUGGAGCGACGCCGCGUGAGCGAAGAAGGCCUUCGGUUGUAAAGCUCUGUCUGGAGGGACGAAGGAAGUGACGGUACCUCCGGAGGAAGCCACGGCUAACUACGUGCCAGCAGCCGCGGUAAGAGUAGUACA
rnacentral:rRNA from 1 species